AGCUGAUUUGAUUCAAUUUGAACAAGUUAAUUCGAAUAUUUUAACAAUCAAAGUGAUUUGAAAGAUAAGUAUAAUAUAUUCUUCUUAUUUAAUUUGAUGUAAAUGUUAGUUAUCGAUUUCGAAAUUGAUUUCAAGAAUUUUUUAUGAUUUCAAAAACCUAAUUAGUUCGAUUUUAGUUCGUAUUUCGUAUUCGGUUUAUGAUCAGUGUAUGGAUCCAAAUUCUUUACUCACAACAUCUUAUGAUGAGUUUCAUUACUGUAGUGUGGAUGAUACUCGUCUAAUAAGAUUUUUUGUUCCCAGGAUUAACUCCACUAUUCAGAUUGAGGAAUACAAAGAAGCAUUUAGGACAUCGACGCUUUGGAAAUUAUGAGCAACCUCUGAUCUCAGGUGCUGCCGUAGGAUUGAAAGAUCUAAAGGCUUUAAAGGUUGCAAGUGAUGUUGGUGAACCCCUGUCAGGCCGGAUGCUUCUCUUCGAUGCACUAUCAGCAAAAAUCCGCAUUGUCAUGCUAAGAGGGAGAUCUUUAUAUUGUGAAGCCUAUGGAGAAAAUGCAGAAUUCACCCUCAAGUUUUCCAAAAUUUUGACUGUGAGAAGUUGCCGCAAACUCCAUUGUCCACGAUAAUGUUGAUUUCUAUUGAUGUUGUCAAAUGCUAAUUUGUGUUAACUUGCUCAUAGUUUGUUUACAACCUUGACCUUGGUUUUAUUACAAAAAAAAUAUCGGAAUCCUUAUUUGCUAAAUCAGAAAGGUCACUCUCUAUGGACUUGUUAAAUUUGUCCUUCUGGCAA